rnacentral:antisense_RNA from 1 species
CUUCACCGAGCCCAGCCACAGCGGUUGUUCCCGGUCGUGGCCGUAGGCGGCGAGCAGGGCGUUGGCCUC